rnacentral:rRNA from 1 species
UACGUAGGGGGCAAGCGUUGUCCGGAUUUAUUGGGCGUAAAGAGCGUGUAGGCGGCCAUACAGGUCAGCUGUGAAAACUCGAGGCUCAACCUCGAGACGUCGGUUGAAACCGUAUGGCUAGAGUCCGGAAGAGGAGAGUGGAAUUCCCGGUGUAGCGGUGAAAUGCGCAGAUAUCGGGAAGAACACCCGUGGCGAAGGCGGCUCUCUGGGACGGUACUGACGCUGAGACGCGAAAAGCGUGGGGGAGCGAACAGGG